rfam:Fistulina hepatica ATCC 64428 unplaced genomic scaffold FISHEscaffold_516, whole genome shotgun sequence.
GGGGGCAUAGCUCAGUUGGGAGAGCAGUAGACUGAAGAGUUGGCUUCUAAAGGUCCCGCGUUCGAUCCGCGGUGCCCCCA